UGGCUCAGGACGAACGCUGGCGGCGUGCCUAAUACAUGCAAGUCGAGCGCGGGAAGCGAGCUGAUCCCUUCGGGGUGACGCUCGUGGAACGAGCGGCGGACGGGUGAGUAACACGUGGGCAACCUGCCUGUAAGAUCGGGAUAACUCCGGGAAACCGGGGCUAAUACCGGGUAAUACUUUCUUUCGCAUGAAGGAAAGUUGAAAGAUGGCUUCUCGCUAUCACUUACAGAUGGGCCCGCGGCGCAUUAGCUAGUUGGUGAGGUAACGGCUCACCAAGGCGACGAUGCGUAGCCGACCUGAGAGGGUGAUCGGCCACACUGGGACUGAGACACGGCCCAGACUCCUACGGGAGGCAGCAGUAGGGAAUCUUCCGCAAUGGACGAAAGUCUGACGGAGCAACGCCGCGUGAACGAUGAAGGUCUUCGGAUCGUAAAGUUCUGUUGUUAGGGAAGAACAAGUACCGUGCGAAUAGAGCGGUA
rnacentral:rRNA from 1 species